AGCAGCCGCGGUAUUACGGAGGGGGCAAGCGUUGUUCGGAAUUAUUGGGCGUAAAGGGCAUGUAGGCGGUUUGGUAAGUUAGAGGUGAAAUACCAGGGCUUAACCCUGGGGCUGCUUUUAAUACUGCAGGACUAGAGUCCGGAAGAGGAUAGCGGAAUUCCUAGUGUAGAGGUGAAAUUCGUAGAUAUUAGGAGGAACACCAGUGGCGAAGGCGGCUGUCUGGUCCGGUACUGACGCUGAGGUGCGAAAGCGUG
rnacentral:rRNA from 1 species